CCUGCAGGAAAAAUACCCACCAAUGCGAUCAUUACCUAUCCCUAGCCUACGUAAGUUCUUGAGUACAUUAACAAAAUCAUUGUCAACUCCACCAAUCAGUAGAGAUGGGCAACAACUAACAAGCUUAAUAACCGUGCUUUUACUUAGACCCAACUUUUCAUAGGCUAGAAGUUUCGAAUCCAACAAACCAUAUUCAUAUAUGAAAAUCUCUCUUGCUUCCUUGUACAUCUUGCCAAUCUUAAUGCGAGGAAUCCCAUAAUUGCAUAAAACGUGGAAAUUCUCUGGCAAGAAAUGAUUAUAACUUACAAAAAAAAAGUGCCACGGAAGAAAUGAAGAAAGCUCAAAUGGGCACAGAAAAUCUUAAGCUUUGUGAGAAGUUUACAGGUGGUUCAAAUUAUUUUGGAAAGCAAUAGGCUGCCGAGUCUUGUGGUGCCCAGUGUGAUGUCUUAGUAGACAGGAUGUUCCAAAGCUUGUUGAAUACCUGAGAAGGCCUAUGGCUUUUAGAAGCUUGCAAGUCCUUAUUUAGAUGUCAAGUCUCUAUCAUUAUGUUCAAGUUGAUAAUUUGCUUUUGGCUCUUGCAUUGGGUCCUCCAACACUUGAUCAGAACUUCUUUCUUGAUACAACUCAUAAAAUGAGGCUUAAGGAGGAGUUCAAAAUCGAACCAUGGACUUUUGAGCAACAUGUUGGAGAAGCUGUCAUCAUUCCUGCUGGAUGCCCUUACCAAAUUAGGCAUCUUAAGUCAUGCGUUAAUGUGGUUUUGGACUUUGUCUCGCCGGAAAAUGUUACAGAAUGCAUCCAGUUGACUGAUGAACUCCGACUGCUUCCAGAGAACCAUAAAGCCAAAGUAGAUAGUCUAGAGGUAAAUUACACGCGACUGUUGCAUGCUCGUUUGCCAUGCUUGUCCACAUGAUGAAUAAGGCUUUACCGUUUUUGCAAAAAUCAGGUGAAGAAAAUGACCCUUUAUGGUAUUAGCAGAGCAAUCAAAGAAAUCCGUGAGCUUACUCAUGCAGAGUAAGUACCUCUACUGAAAUAUAAAAGUCAAUACUUUUUGUUUCUCUGUUUGGCUCCAGCAUUAGUUCUUACCAAAUAUUCAAGGGAUCAUGUUACUGCUGCUGUUUUGAAUUGACUCAAAGUUGGGGCAGACUAGUAUCAAGCAUGUGAAAAACUAAUCGUGUAUGAACAUUCUGAGAGUGACAAUAAGUAAUAUUUGCCCAGUAGAACACAUUGAAUAUCCUUUCUUAAUAAAACUGUAUCAAAAUUAUGAGCUGACAUUCUAGAAACAUCCAGAUCACGUAUGUCAUUGUUACCUAGGUUUCUAUGACAAGCUAGUUUGGCCUCUGUUCUUUAAUCGUUUCCCCAUUAUGAUAAUACGGCUUCAUUUGAGUAGAUGAGUAUUUGAAAUGGAUUUGAAUUUGAUAUUAUGUUUAUAUUAUAUGAUUUUUAACUCAAAACAGAGAUCCAAAUUCACCUUCAUUUCAAAUACACAUUAAAAUGGAUCAUUAGAUAAUAUGUAUGUUGUGUGAAUGUAAAUAUAUGCCGCCUUUCCUAGCAUGAAAUACUGUGUAGUUGUUUCCUUUGUAUAUUUUCAAGAAUUUUAUGCAACAAGAAUCAAUUUAUAAACCCGAUAUUGCAGGACCAGCGGUGAGCUCAAUGAUCGACAAUGAGGACUGAAGCGGAUCUGAUUUACUUGCAUCUGAGUCCCUCUCCUUACCUAUUUUAUUGUGCAGAGUAUUGUUCUCUGCAGAAUUUCGAUAGAUCUGUGAUAUCAGCAGUAACAAGAAGCUAAUUUCUUCAGAUUAGAUAAAAGAUUGGCAUUCAUUCUCCCUUUUCUAUUUUCUAUUACAACUUGUCUAGUCAAUCAAUUGGUUGUAUAUAAUAAAAAGAAGCCAGAUCACCAUUUGUUUAUAUUUAUUUUCCUUCGGUGCAACAUUUUUUUCAGCUACAGCAAAGUAAUUCUU
rnacentral:misc_RNA from 1 species